rnacentral:lncRNA from 1 species
UGUGAAUCGAGGGUCAUGGCAACCACCGCAUACUCAUAGAAAACUCUUCCCAUAAGCAUGCAAAGCAUCUUAUCAUACUAUCCUAAAAUAACAGUGGAAUAAUUAGUCAAUAACUUAAAUCCAAAAUAUAACGACCUAAAAUUUUUUCUUUAAUGUCUCAAUAAAUUCAACAAUGAUUCAUAGUCCUUACAUCAAAUUCAAUA